AUGGAUGGGGAGUUGCCGGAAUACGACAGUGAUGUGCAAAAUAUGUUGGACCUCUUCAUCACAAGCGAGCAGGGCCACCUACUCCAGCACGAGAAAGGUGAUGAGAUGCAUGGCCUACUGGGAGCCACUACCAACAUGGGCAACACUGACGAUGCCAACGCUGCUGCUGCAGACGAAGGCAACAAUAACGAUGGAGAGACCAAUAGUGUGCAGAGAAUGAUGACAAGGCAUGCAAAUUAUAACCGUCUCCGUGGAGAACAAAUCCAACAACUUGAAGCAUACAAUACAUACUCAAUCAAUGAAAGCCCUUAUCCAGAUGCGAAACUCCGGAAAGACCUUAGCGAGAGGCUUGGCAUGAGUGCCUUGCAGGUCAAGUUUUGGUUCCAAAACAAACGCUCCUCCAGCAAGGGCAAGAGGCAACUACAGGACACCAAGAAUCUUCAGGGAGAUAACCAAAUGCUAAAACAUGAAAACCAAGCCAUCAAGUGGGUCGUUGAACACAAGACAUGCCUCAAAUGCGCAGGGGUGAUGCUAAAAACUCAGGAUACCUCGGAGCACCAACGCCUGUGUACAGAGAAUAUGAGGCUCAAGGAAGAACUCCGCCGUGCCACCGCCUAUCUUAAAGACGGUCUCUACCGUAAUGGCAUGUGGCACCAAUUUACCCGUGACUAA
rnacentral:rRNA from 1 species